rnacentral:lncRNA from 1 species
UAUGAUCUGAGCUAUUUAGGGUGUUACCUCAUAACACCCCUAAAAUUCAUAUAUUGAAGUCCUAAACCCCAGGGCCUCAGAAUGUGACUGUAUUUGGAGAUAGCAUAUUUAAAGAGGUAAUUAAGUUAGAAUGAGGUUAUUAGGGUAGGCCCUAAUCUGACUGAUGUCCUUCUAAGAAGAGGAAAUUAGGACACAGAGACAGACACGUGGAAGAAAUGUCAUGUGAAGACAGUGAGAAGACAGCUGUCUAUAAACCAAGAAGAGAGGCUUCAGAAGAAACCCGCCCUGUGAACACUUUAAUCUCAGACUCCUAUUCUUCAGAACUUUGGUUUUUGAGUCUCCAGCUUCACCUCUCAACUCCUGCCACUUUAUGGAACACCCUCAGUGCCCAGGGGUCUCUUGUCCUUGGUCCUGGUUCUCCCUGGGCUGCCUUGAGACUUUGCAGUGUGCCAAUAAGAGGAUGUAUAUGAGACCCUUACUCAUGUAUUUUUCUCUUGUGAAGCUGAUCACACUGGACUUUUAAGUCCUUUCUUCCUGACAUUCAGUCUUUGACUCUGAAUUAGCUGAGGCAUGAGAAGUUCACCACAGGAAGGUCCUGCCCUUUGUUUGCUCCUAAAGGUUCCUUUAAAGUUCAACUUGACCAACACACCAUUGCAAGCACUCCAGAGGAGAAGACAGCCUUGCUGUGUCAAAUCCACUUUAGUUUGUAAAUUUCUUGUCAGUCACUUUUAUGCCCCCACUGAAUAGGACAGUGUGAAGCAUGGAUUAAGUAUGCAAUAAAUGGUUGUUGAAUAAAUCAGAAAAUUAAAUGCAUUCUGCACAGAA